CCUACGGGUGGCAGCAGUGGGGAAUAUUGCACAAUGGGCGAAAGCCUGAUGCAGCAACGCCGCGUGAAGGAAGACGGUUUUCGGAUUGUAAACUUCUGUUCUUAGUGAAGAAUAAUGACGGUAACUAAGGAGCAAGCCACGACUAACUACGUGCCAGCAGCCGCGGUAAUACGUAGGUGGCAAGCGUUGUCCGGAAUUACUGGGUGUAAAGGGAGCGUAGGCGGGAAGCCAAGUCAGCGGUGAAAACUACGGGCUUAACCUGUAGACUGGAGUUUAAAAUGGCUUUCUUGAGUGAAGUAGAGGUUGGCGGAAUUCCGGGGUUAGCGGUGAAAUGCGUAGAGAUUCGGAGGAACACCGGGUGCGAAGGCGGCCAACUAGGCUUUAACUGACGCUGAGGCUCGAAAGUGUGGGGAGCAAACAGGAUUAGAUACCCGGGUAGUC
rnacentral:rRNA from 1 species